rnacentral:rRNA from 1 species
GAUGAACGCUGGCGGCGUGCCUAAUACAUGCAAGUCGAGCGAACAGACGAGGAGCUUGCUCCUCUGACGUUAGCGGCGGACGGGUGAGUAACACGUGGAUAACCUACCUAUAAGACUGGGAUAACUUCGGGAAACCGGAGCUAAUACCGGAUAAUAUCUUGAACCGCAUGGUUCAUUAGUGAAAGACGGUUUUGCUGUCACUUAUAGAUGGUUCCGCGCCGCAUUAGCUAGUUGGUAAGGUAACGGCUUACCAAGGCAACGAUGCGUAGCCGACCUGAGAGGGGGAUCGGCCACACUGGAACUGAGACACGGUCCAGACUCCUACGGGAGGCAGCAGUAGGGAAUCUUCCGCAAUGGGCGAAAGCCUGACGGAGCAACGCCGCGUGAGUGAUGAAGGUCUUCGGAUCGUAAAACUCUGUUAUUAGGGAAGAACAAAUGUGUAAGUAACUAUGCACGUCUUGACGGUACCUAAUCAGAAAGCCACGGCUAACUACGUG